rfam:Salmo salar isolate Sally breed double haploid chromosome ssa26, whole genome shotgun sequence.
UCCCAUGUGGCUCAGUAGGUAGAGCAUGGUGUUUGCAACACCUGGGUUGUGGGUUCGAUUCCCACGGGGGAC